UAAUAAUUAUUGUACAGUACUAGAUGAUCUUCUCUGUUUUGGGUCAGAUGCAAUCACUAGCCAGUUUAAAACAUUUCUUCUACUCUUGGCUUAAGAAAUUGUAUUUUAUUAUUGUACCAGCAUUAGGUAGUUAACUCCACUUAUGCAUUGACCUCUACUACCGUGUAGCGGGAAAUUUCGUUAUUUGAGCCCCUGAGAAAUGUUGUAUAGUUGUUCACAUUUCAAUGCCAAGAAACCAAUAGCUUUGCAUGUGAAAUACUGGUGCGUGGGAGUGUCUUCCAUUUAUAUUACAUGAAGUGUGAAGUGUGUUGUAAGUUUGUACAGAGAGGACUCCCAUGGUGGCAAUGAAUGUAUGGCAAUGAUCUGAUGAUGGCUCCACUGCUCUGAUGGACCAAUGCAGGAGAAGUUAUUCUGUAUAAUUAUUACACUAAAUUAAUGUAUGCCACUGUUUGGAUCGGUUUCUGUUCUGCUCAGCUUCUUCCUCCAACUUGCUUACGCAGGCUAAGCUUAUUCUUAAUUAGUUCAUUCUUAGUUCAUUCUAUAGUCUAGUAUAUUGUCGGUUUGGUUGUUUUAUGUUUUUCACCUGGUCAUACGGAAUCACUUCAUUAAUUUUUAUACAGUGCAGACCACACCUCUAUCCACACAUUGUACCUGCACAUCCUGUAUAUAUGGGGCCACACCCCCACUCACUGUACUGAUAUGUGGUCACACCCCCAUACAUGGUAACCCUCUUGACCACACCCCAAUCCUAUUCUGUGUUUUUGUGUACAGUACACACAUCAUCCGUGUCUUUAUCCCCACACCUAGUCGGAGGGAGCAGCAAGUUCUACUAAGAGCCAGCAUCACCCACUAACCAACACUCUACAAGACCUACCUACUACCAGCUAGGACAGCACACCACCCGGGACAGACUCUACUAUACCCAUGUAAUACGCCUUUGUAUUACGAUCAUGAUACAAUUUGCUGCCCUCCCUCGCCAAUGGAUUGAAUAAUUAUGGACACUCGCAGGACAACUAAGAGACUGACACACAAUAAUAGACACCAAAGGCAGUGUAUGUGAUUUUCUGACAGGAAAGGCUACUCUAAACAAAGGGAGUCGGCCACACAAGGUAUAGUCUGAUAAUUAUUGUACGGUACCUUCUCUGUUUUGGGUCAGAUGCAAUUGCCUUCAAUCACUAGCCAGUUUAAAACAUUUCUUCUACUCUUGGCUUAAGAAAUUGUAUUUUAUUAUUGUACCAGCAUUAGGUAGUUAACUCCACUUAUGCAUUGACCUCUACUACUGUGUAGCGGGAAAGUUCGUUAUUUGAGCCCUCGAGAAAUGUUGUAUAGUUGUUCACAUUUCAAUGCCAGGAAACCAUAGCUUUGCAUGGUGCGUGGGAGUGUCUUCCAUUUUUAUUACAUGAAGUGUGAAGUGUGUUGUAAGUUUGUAUAGAGAGGACUCCCAUGGUGGCAAUGAUCUGAUGAUGGCUCCACUGCUCUGAUGGACCAAUGCAGGAGAAGUUAUUCUGUAUAAUUAUUACACUAAAUUAAUGUAUGCCACUGUUUGGAUCGGUUUCUGUUCUGCUCAGCUUCUUCCUCCAACUUGCUUACGCAGGCUAAGCUUAUUCUUAAUUAGUUCAUUCUUAGUUCAUUCUAUAGUCUAGUAUUAUUGUCGGUUUGGUUGUUUUAUGUUUUUCACCUGGUCAUACGGAAUCACUUCAUUAAUUUUUAUACAGUGCAGACCACACCUCUAUCCACACAUUGUACCUGCACAUCCUGUAUAUAUGGGGCCACACCCCCACUCACUGUACUGAUAUGUGGUCACACCCCCAUACAUGGUAACCCUCUUGACCACACCCCAAUCCUAUGCUGUGUUUUUGUGUACAGUACACACAUCAUCCGUGUCUUUAUCCCCACACCUAGUCGGAGGGAGCAGCAAGUUCUACUAAGAGCCAGCAUCACCCACUAACCAACACUCUACAAGACCUACCUACUACCAGCUAGGACAGCACACCACCCGGGACAGACUCUACUAUACCCAUGUAAUACGCCUUUGUAUUACGAUCAUGAUACAAUUUGCUGCCCUCCCUCGCCAAUGGAUUGAAUAAUUAUGGACACUCGCAGGACAACUAAGAGACUGACACACAAUAAUAGACACCAAAGGGUUACUGUAUCAUGUACGAAUAUUCUGUUGCUUGUACAUUUCGUAACAUUAUCAGUAAUUGACUGUAGAGUAGCAUCUUGAGCUCCCCUUUCUUCAUCACUCAAUCUGCAGGCAGUGUAUGUGAUUUUCUGACAGGAAAGGCUACUCUAAACAAAGGGAGUCGGCCACACAAGUCGGAGGGAGCAGCAAGUUCUACUAAGAGCCAGCAUCACCAACUAACCAACACUACAAGACCUACCUACUACCAGCUAGGACAGCACACCACCCGGGACAGACUCUACUAUACCAUGUAAUACGCCUUUUUAUUACGAUCAUGAUACAAUUUGCUGCCCUCCCUUGCCCAUGGAUUGAAUAAUUAUGGACACUCGCAGGACAACUAAGAGACUGACACACAAUAAUAGAAACCUAACUGCAUUUUUGCCAUUAAUAUAAUAAAAAUAAUUUUGCCAUUAA